UACGUAGGGUGCAAGCGUUGUCCGGAAUUAUUGGGCGUAAAGAGCUCGUAGGCGGUUUGUCGCGUCGAAUGUGAAAACCCGGGGCUCAACUCCGGGCCUGCAUUCGAUACGGGCAGACUAGAGUUCGGUAGGGGAGUCUGGAAUUCCUGGUGUAGCGGUGAAAUGCGCAGAUAUCAGGAGGAACACCGGUGGCGAAGGCGGGUCUCUGGGCCGAAAUUGACGCUGAGGAGCGAAAGCGUGGGGAGCAAACAGG
rnacentral:rRNA from 1 species